ensembl:snoRNA SNORD15 Small nucleolar RNA SNORD15
CUUCAGUGAUGAUACGAUGACGAGUCAGAAGGGACGUCCUUGCCUGGGUGCAGCCUGCUCAGUGCCACGUUCUGUGGUGCUGCACCGGGGUUGCCCUGGGCAGGACAGCCUACUCAGUGGAUGAUUUAGAGGCAUUUGUCUGAGAAGG